rnacentral:rRNA from 1 species
UACAGAGGUCUCAAGCGUUGUUCGGAUUCAUUGGGCGUAAAGGGUGCGUAGGUGGCGCCAUAAGUCAGGUGUGAAAUCUCGGGGCUCAACCCCGAAACUGCACUUGAUACUGUGGUGCUGGAGUACUGGAGAGGAGAUUGGAAUUUACGGUGUAGCAGUGAAAUGCGUAGAUAUCGUAAGGAAGACCAGUGGCGAAGGCGGAUCUCUGGACAGUUACUGACACUGAGGCACGAAGGCCAGGGGAGCAAACGGG